rnacentral:lncRNA from 10 species
AAUACUUUCUUCCUUGCAGCUGAAUUUAUUAGUGCGAAUCGAGGAGAGAGGGGUGGCAUUACAUAUUUAAAAUAUUUAUGCAUCUGUUUCAUCUUUUGUACCGUUCCCUAGCAAAUACGGAAUGGUAACUGCUUUCAAAUUAGGGACUAGGUCAUGUGGAUUUUGUUUUGUUUUUCUUUUACAUCUACCACGGUGUUGAGCAUAGGGGGCUCAUUAAAAACAUCUUCUCGGGCCGAGUGCCGUGGCUUACGCCUAUAAUCCCAGCACUUUGGAAAGCCGAGGAGGACGGAUUACCUGAGGUCAGGAAUUCGAGACCAGCCUGGCCAACAUGUGAUAAAGAAUUACUUUCAACACCGUGAAUUUUCAUUCACAUUGAAAGAUGAUAUUUACAUUCGCUACCAAUCCUUCAACAACCAGAGUGAUCUGGAAAAGGAGAUGCAGAAAAUGAAUCCAUACAAGAUUGAUAUAGGCGCAGUAUAUUCUCACAGACCCAAUCAACACAAUACAGUGAAGCUGGGAGCUUUCCAGGCUCAGGAAAAAGAACUGGUAUUUGACAUUGACAUGACAGACUAUGACGAUGUGAGGAGAUGUUGUAGACAUAUGUCCUAAGUGCUGGA